rnacentral:SRP_RNA from 1 species
GCUGGGUGUGGUGGUGCAUGCCUGUAAUCCUAGCUACUCAGGAGGCUGAGGCAGGAGAAUUGCUUGAACCCAGGAGGCGGAGGUUGCAGUGAGCCAAGACUGCGCCACUGCACUCCAGCCUGGGUGACAGAGCGAGACUCUGUCUCAA